GAUGAACGCUGGCGGCGUGCUUAACACAUGCAAGUCGAACGAUGAAGCCCAGCUUGCUGGGUGGAUUAGUGGCGAACGGGUGAGUAACACGUGAGUAACCUGCCCUUAACUCUGGGAUAAGCCUGGGAAACUGGGUCUAAUACCGGAUAGGAGCGUCCACCGCAUGGUGGGUGUUGGAAAGAUUUAUCGGUUUUGGAUGGACUCGCGGCCUAUCAGCUUGUUGGUGAGGUAAUGGCUCACCAAGGCGACGACGGGUAGCCGACCUGAGAGGGUGACCGGCCACACUGGGACUGAGACACGGCCCAGACUCCUACGGGAGGCAGCAGUGGGGAAUAUUGCACAAUGGGCGCAAGCCUGAUGCAGCGACGCCGCGUGAGGGAUGACGGCCUUCGGGUUGUAAACCUCUUUCAGUAGGGAAGAAGCGAAAGUGACGGUACCUGCAGAAGAAGCACCGGCUAACUACGUG
rnacentral:rRNA from 1 species